rnacentral:rRNA from 1 species
UACGUAGGGUGCGAGCGUUAAUCGGAAUUACUGGGCGUAAAGGGUGCGUAGGCGGAUAUAUAAGUUAGAUGUGAAAUCCCCGAGCUUAACUUGGGAAUGGCAUUUAAGACUGUAUGUCUAGAGUCUGUAAGAGGGGGGUAGAAUUCCGAGUGUAGCAGUGAAAUGCGUAGAGAUUCGGAGGAACACCAGUGGCGAAGGCGGCCCCCUGGUAUAAGACUGACGCUGAGGCACGAAAGCGUGGGUAGCAAACAGGAUUAGAUACCCCAGUAGU